rnacentral:rRNA from 1 species
UAGGGAAUCUUCGGCAAUGGACGAAAGUCUGACCGAGCAACGCCGCGUGAGUGAAGAAGGUUUUCGGAUCGUAAAACUCUGUUGUUAGAGAAGAACAAGGACGUUAGUAACUGAACGUCCCCUGACGGUAUCUAACCAGAAAGCCACGGCUAACUACGUGCCAGCAGCCGCGGUAAUACGUAGGUGGCAAGCGUUGUCCGGAUUUAUUGGGCGUAAAGCGAGCGCAGGCGGUUUCUUAAGUCUGAUGUGAAAGCCCCCGGCUCAACCGGGGAGGGUGAUUGGAAACUGGGAGAUUUGAUCCCCGAACAGGAGCGUGUCCGUCUAUGGGCUGCGGUGAAAUGCUUAGUUGUUGUUGGCAACCCUCUUGGCGAAGGCGGCUAGCUGGUCGGUAACUGACGCUGAGGCUCGAAAGCGUGGGGAGCAAACAGG